CGAACGGCUCUCUUUGGAGCCAUAAGCAAAUUGAUUAAAUGAAAU
rfam:Ascaris lumbricoides genome assembly, scaffold: ALTE_scaffold0000031